rnacentral:rRNA from 1 species
CACUCUGUGGAGGCUGCCGGUGUUAAACCGGAGGAAGGUGGGGAUGACGUCAAGUCCUCAUGGCCCUUAUGACCAGGGCUACACACGUGCUACAAUGGCCGGUACAAAGAGUUGCAAUACCGCGAGGUGGAGCUAAUCUCAUAAAGCCGGUCUCAGUUCGGAUUGGAGUCUGCAACUCGACUCCAUGAAGUUGGAAUCGCUAGUAAUCGCGGAUCAGCACGCCCGCGGUCGAAUACGUUCCGGCCUU